rnacentral:rRNA from 1 species
AUGAACGCUGGCGGCGUGCCUAAUACAUGCAAGUCGAGCGAACAGAUAAGGAGCUUGCUCCUUUGAAGUUAGCGGCGGACGGGUGAGUAACACGUGGGUAACCUACCUAUAAGACUGGGAUAACUUCGGGAAACCGGAGCUAAUACCGGAUAACAUUUAGAACCGCAUGGUUCUAAAGUGAAAGAUGGUUUUGCUAUCACUUAUAGAUGGGCCCGCGCCGUAUUAGCUAGUUGGUAAGGUAACGGCUUACCAAGGCGACGAUACGUAGCCGACCUGAGAGGGUGAUCGGCCACACUGGAACUGAGACACGGUCCAGACUCCUACGGGAGGCAGCAGUAGGGAAUCUUCCGCAAUGGGCGAAAGCCUGACGGAGCAACGCCGCGUGAGUGAUGAAGGGUUUCGGCUCGUAAAACUCUGUUAUUAGGGAAGAACAAAUGUGUAAGUAACUGUGCACAUCUUGACGGUACCCAAUCAGAAAGCCACGGCUAACUACGUG